CUGGGAGGACCAUCUCCUAAGGCUAAAUACUCUCUAGUGACCGAUAGUGAACCAGUACCGUGAGGGAAAGGUGAAAAGCACCCCGGAAGGGGAGUGAAAUAGAACCUGAAACCGUGUGCUUACAAGUAGUCAGAGCCCGUUAAUGGGUGAUGGCGUGCCUUUUGUAGAAUGAACCGGCGAGUUACGAUUUGAUGCAAGGUUAAGCAGUAAAUGUGGAGCCGUAGCGAAAGCGAGUCUGAAUAGGGCGUUUAGUAUUUGGUCGUAGACCCGAAACCAGGUGAUCUACCCUUGGUCAGGUUGAAGUUCAGGUAACACUGAAUGGAGGACCGAACCGACUUACGUUGAAAAGUGAGCGGAUGAACUGAGGGUAGCGGAGAAAUUCCAAUCGAACCUGGAGAUAGCUGGUUCUCUCCGAAAUAGCUUUAGGGCUAGCCUCAAGUGAUGAUUAUUGGAGGUAGAGCACUGUUUGGACGAGGGGCCCCUCUCGGGUUACCGAAUUCAGACAAACUCCGAAUGCCAAUUAAUUUAACUUGGGAGUCAGAACAUGGGUGAUAAGGUCCGUGUUCGAAAGGGAAACAGCCCAGACCACCAGCUAAGGUCCCAAAAUAUAUGUUAAGUGGAAAAGGAUGUGGCGUUGCCCAGACAACUAGGAUGUUGGCUUAGAAGCAGCCAUCAUUUAAAGAGUGCGUAAUAGCUCACUAGUCGAGUGACACUGCGCCGAAAAUGUACCGGGGCUAAACAUAUUACCGAAGCUGUGGAUUGUCCUUUGGACAAUGGUAGGAGAGCGUUCUAAGGGCGUUGAAGCAUGAUCGUAAGGACAUGUGGAGCGCUUAGAAGUGAGAAUGCCGGUGUGAGUAGCGAAAGACGGGUGAGAAUCCCGUCCACCGAUUGACUAAGGUUUCCAGAGGAAGGCUCGUCCGCUCUGGGUUAGUCGGGUCCUAAGCUGAGGCCGACAGGCGUAGGCGAUGGAUAACAGGUUGAUAUUCCUGUACCACCUAUAAUCGUUUUAAUCGAUGGGGGGACGCAGUAGGAUAGGCGAAGCGUGCGAUUGGAUUGCACGUCUAAGCAGUAAGGCUGAGUAUUAGGCAAAUCCGGUACUCGUUAAGGCUGAGCUGUGAUGGGGAGAAGACAUUGUGUCUUCGAGUCGUUGAUUUCACACUGCCGAGAAAAGCCUCUAGAUAGAAAAUAGGUGCCCGUACCGCAAACCGACACAGGUAGUCAAGAUGAGAAUUCUAAGGUGAGCGAGCGAACUCUCGUUAAGGAACUCGGCAAAAUGACCCCGUAACUUCGGGAGAAGGGGUGCUCUUUAGGGUUAACGCCCAGAAGAGCCGCAGUGAAUAGGCCCAAGCGACUGUUUAUCAAAAACACAGGUCUCUGCUAAACCGUAAGGUGAUGUAUAGGGGCUGACGCCUGCCCGGUGCUGGAAGGUUAAGAGGAGUGGUUAGCUUCUGCGAAGCUACGAAUCGAAGCCCCAGUAAACGGCGGCCGUAACUAUAACGGUCCUAAGGUAGCGAAAUUCCUUGUCGGGUAAGUUCCGACCCGCACGAAAGGCGUAACGAUUUGGGCACUGUCUCAACGAGAGACUCGGUGAAAUCAUAGUACCUGUGAAGAUGCAGGUUACCCGCGACAGGACGGAAAGACCCCGUGGAGCUUUACUGUAGCCUGAUAUUGAAAUUCGGCACAGCUUGUACAGGAUAGGUAGGAGCCUUUGAAACGUGAGCGCUAGCUUACGUGGAGGCGCUGGUGGGAUACUACCCUAGCUGUGUUGGCUUUCUAACCCGCACCACUUAUCGUGGUGGGAGACAGUGUCAGGCGGGCAGUUUGACUGGGGCGGUCGCCUCCUAAAAGGUAACGGAGGCGCUCAAAGGUUCCCUCAGAAUGGUUGGAAAUCAUUCAUAGAGUGUAAAGGCAUAAGGGAGCUUGACUGCGAGACCUACAAGUCGAGCAGGGUCGAAAGACGGACUUAGUGAUCCGGUGGUUCCGCAUGGAAGGGCCAUCGCUCAACGGAUAAAAGCUACCCCGGGGAUAACAGGCUUAUCUCCCCCAAGAGUUCACAUCGACGGGGAGGUUUGGCACCUCGAUGUCGGCUCAUCGCAUCCUGGGGCUGUAGUCGGUCCCAAGGGUUGGGCUGUUCGCCCAUUAAAGCGGUACGCGAGCUGGGUUCAGAACGUCGUGAGACAGUUCGGUCCCUAUCCGUCGUGGGCGUAGGAAAUUUGAGAGGAGCUGUCCUUAGUACGAGAGGACCGGGAUGGACAUACCUCUGGUGUACCAGUUGUCGUGCCAACGGCAUAGCUGGGUAGCUAUGUGUGGACGGGAUAAGUGCUGAAAG
rnacentral:rRNA from 1 species